CGGGGUGUAGCUCAGCCUGGCCAGAGCACUGCGUUCGGGACGCAGGAGUCGCUGGUUCAAAUCCAGUCACCCCGA
rnacentral:tRNA from 1 species